AUGACGGGGCUUCUCACGGUAGUUGACGCGACAAUAGGAUGGCUGGUGCAAACCAUCCUUGGGAGCUUCUUCACUGAACAGAUUGAAGCCUGGGCUCGUGAAGUUGGGCUUGCUGAAGAUGUGGAGAAGCUCAAAUUUGAGAUGAGAAACGUGGAGAUGGUUCUUGCUGCUGCCGAGGGAAGGAUGAUUGAAAACAAGCCUCUGGCACGUUCACUGGAUGAUCUCAAAGAGUUGCUUUAUGACUCGGAGGACGUGAUGGACGAGCUCGAUUACUACCAACUCCAACAGCAGAUCGAAGAAGGGAAAGGUUGUAGUGCUCCUAAUGGUGUUAAUCCCGAGGGAAGCUACGUGUCCUCAUCAGCUCCAUCUUCUGCUUAUGAAUUAGUAUGCAGUGCCACAAGCCAAAUGACUAGUUGGGCCUCAUGCAGCAGAAAAAGGAAGCGUGAAGAGGAGGGGCCAGGUCAAAGUACCAUGCUGACUUCUGAGAUUAAACAUGACAUUUCUCAGAGGAUCAAUGGAAUAGUGAAAGGUUUAUGCACUAUUGGCAGUUCCGUGCAGAGAGUUCUUCAGCUUGAGGUCUCGCGCCCCACUGCAACAUCACUUGAGAGUCAGAAUAUUUCCAAUAAUGCUCGGCUGACAACUUCUGUUCCAGUUGAAGUUAAGAUGUAUGGGAGGGAGUCAGAGAGAGACAAGAUAAUAGAGCUGUUGAUAGAGGGGGGGUCUAGUAAUCUGAAUGUUUUGCCAGUGGUUGGCAUUGGUGGUGUUGGGAAGACAAGUCUUGCUAGAUUUGUAUGCAAGGACCAAAGAAUUAGAGAUCAUUUUGAUAUGCAAAUGUGGGUUUGUGUAUCCACUGACUUCAAUGAAGUGAGGAUAACACAUGAGAUCCUAGAGCAUGUAUGUGAAAAUAGACAAGAAUAUGCAAAUAUAAGCAAUUUCAAUGUAUUGCAGAAGAACCUUUUGGAGAAUAUCAGAAACAAAAGAUUUCUGCUCGUAUUGGAUGACAUGUGGGAGGACAAGGACAGGAGUGGAUGGAUUAAACUCUUGGCUCCAUUGAAAGGUAAUCAAGUAAGUGGCUGCAUGAUACUAGCAACAACUAGAAUGAAUUCGGUUGCAAAAAUGGUACGAACGAUGGAUGAAGUCAUAUUGAGUGGCCUGAAUGAAAAGGAAUUUUGGCUGUUAUUCAAGGUAUGUGCAUUUGGAAACGAGAACUACGAGGGUGAUCCUUAUUUGCAGUCUAUUGGCAAACAGAUUGCUAAAGCACUGAAGGGCUGCCCACUAGCCACACAAAGUGUUGGUGCACUUUUGAAGACAAGUGUCAGUGAUAAAGCAUUGGAGGACAGUUCGGGACAAAUGGAGAUCUUUUCAAGAAGGCGCUAA
rnacentral:rRNA from 1 species